AAUCAAACUGUCACAUAUGCUUAAAGCAGUAAGUAAAAAUACAGCAUUAAAAAAAAAAACUUAGAAUUUAGAGUAAAAACUUCAAGACGCUUUCAUGUCAUGGGCCAUGGGGGUCUCCCCGCUCGGUCUUUGGGGACCCAUGUGGCGGAGAGGUGAGCAUCCACUGUGCCUGCCCACCAUGCUGCCUGGGCUCAAAUGUAACAGUACAUGGUACCCGUACAUGGUGCCCGAGGGCUCACUCCCCGCAGGGACUCAUGGCAAGUGGCCACUCAAUGGCCUGCUCCCUUCAUGAGCUUUGGCCAGUAACACCCAUGGGUGGUUGGAGGCAAGGAUACCCCUCUCUUCUGGGGCCCUCGAACACGGCGGCAGGGUGUGGCUUGCCCGCAGGAAGCUGGAGGGAUACGCCUGGAAGGCACUGGCCAAGGCUUUUGGUCUCUCCUAUCAUGUCCCGGGCUCCCCGACGCCCCCAGUUCAAACCGGAAGGAGCUCUCCUAGAAUCCAGCCUCCCUGUCCCACACCCGGAAUUGUGCCAGGCUGCAUCUGUCCUCCAAGAGCCAGGCCCAGGGCUAGGUGUGGCGCGUGGGCGGCUCCUCCGCGCAGGCCUGGUCAGAGUAGGGGGCAGCGGUGACUGCCCCUCUUGCAGCCUGUAGGCCAGGUGGCUGCGGCUGCGCUUGACCUCCGUCACGCAGAGCUCCAGCAGGACCUUAGCGGGCUGUUUCUCCACCUUUUCCCUGGGCACACCGCGGCUCAGCAGCGGCCCUUGAGGUCCCUGCGCAUCGAGUUGGGCCCCAGCGUGAGCUUGGCGCUGCCCCGCUGGCCCUGGCGCCCUAGCAGGCCGCUGUCGGGGAGGCCUGGAUCUCCACAACGGCCUCCAUCACCGUCACGCCCUUCACCAGCAGGCUGGCCAGCAGGAGACGCAGCUCCGAGGGCGCCGCCAUCGGCGUCGGCAAGCGCCUGUGCAGGCUCUGUGUGAAGAGCAUGUCCUCGGGCGGCACUGGCUCAGGAGCAGAGGGCGCUGGAGGGGCCGAGGGUGGCUGGCAGGAGCUCCAGUCGAUGCCCACCUCCAUGGUGGUCCAGGGCCGGAAGGGCAGCUCGGUGGCCUCGAAGUGAAAGGAAGACAGUGCUGGCGCAGGCCGUCAGCAGCCCGGCCAGCAUUGUCAGGCAUCCGUUGCCCAGGAGGGCCUUGCAGUGGUUGUUGAAGACGGCGUCGUGGCUCAGGUUGCCCAGCAGCACCAGCUCUCCAGAGUUCAGAGACAGGGCAGGGUCCCCCUGGUGGAAGACCCGCAGGAUUCAGGAGAACAUGAGCUCUAUGGAGUUCUGCUUGAAGCACCGAGAGGUGGCCAGGAGGUGGGUGUACGUGUAGUACGAGCAGAACCGAUCCCCCGACCCUUGUGGGUGGUCGCUGGUGCUUUCUUAGCCAUGAGCGUGGCAACUCCUAGGCAGGGAACAGCAGAGAGCCCGGAGGGACGCGAGAGCAAUGGCCGGGCCCUUCAGCACCUGGAGGAACCACCUUUGGAAGGCAGGAAUCGUCCUUGCCCCAUACAGCUGUAGAGGAUUUGGGCCAUCUGCUCUGUGACUGCUUUACAGACAAAGCAACUGAGGUGCAGGAGAACAAUCGCUUGAUGAACAUCUCCAAGCCCACGAACAGCAGAGCUGGGAUUUGGACACAGGCCUGUCUGACUAGUUUUCCACAGCUACGAGAUGGGUUUUGUAUGUAAAUCCUGAGUGCCAUUGUUGGCAUAUAAAUUAAUUCCAAGAGAUAUCUAAUAUGAAGCCAACCUAGAUAGUGAGAUAUUUUAGACUUGGAUGGGUCAGGGAGUGGAAGCAAGGUUCUUACCACAAUGGGGGUGGUGGGUGGCCCUCAGCUUGAAGCUGCACCCAGCUCUUACUCUCUCCAAGGCCUAGAUGUGGCUUCUCAAUUAAAUUUAUUCACCAGCCUCUCCCCAUCCUGGUUCUUGCAAACCAGAGAGGAGUUUUUAUUACUUGAACAAAUUUUGUUUUCCUUUUUGGAAUAGACUAUGAUCCCCCUCAAGCUAAGAGGAAGUUUGGGGACUUGAUCCAUAAUCAUCUUAAUCUAACAGACCCUCCCCAUCCCACCACUACUCUACACUCACCUUAUUAAGAAUGGGAGUCUCCGAGUUUGGGUAGGGAGGGUGACAGAGCAGAAGAGAGAAACACAGGAUGGGGAGUGGAGGCUAAAAGUCCUUACAUUUGGUUGUCUUUGUUUUGUCUUUGGGUUGUUGUCAAGAAAGAUUUAUGUAAUCAUCUUGAUUUAUAAGACUUUUAGUAUCACCGAGCAGUCUUUUUUAUUACUUCCGUCUUCUACUGGCCUUUUCUGGGCCUCUUAUAUUUUCAUCAAGCUAUUGGCAUUUUGUCCAAAUCAAUAGCAGUCAAAGAUCUCUUCCUUCCAUAUGCAGGCACAGUGUAUUUUACCUGGGAUUGGAGAUGAAGAAUUAUAGUCAUUUAGAAUCAAGAGAGAAUUUGAGAGAUAGCCUCUAGCCCAAUCUUAUUUUCAUCUUGGCCUACAGACGUUGUAAUGUAGCUGGUUAAUGGCAGAGUUGAGACAAAGACCUAGGUCAUCUCUUACUGAGUCCAUUAUUUUUUGCCAUAUUCUAUACUGCAUCACGCAUUCUUUCAUUCAAUAGUUAUAUUUUAGACACAUUGCUAUGCACUGGGGGAAGAGCAACACAGACAUGUUUCCUGUUCUUUUGAUCCAUAAUGAAGGAGACACAUAAUUAAACAUUCAGUGCAGUACAAAGUGAGGCACCUGAUCCCAUUAGUGGGAAGAUCAGGGAGGACGUCUUGGGGGAAAUGAUGGUUAAACUAAGAAUUGAAUAGAAAGUAAGAGUGGGGGGAAGGGCAAAGAGCAUCUCAGUAAGUGCAAAGAGCACAUAGAAAGGCCCCAGACAGAAGAAAGUGGUGCAUUUAAAGUAUUGAAAAGAAAUUCAGAGUUGUGGGGGUAAGCAGGGCUAGUUGAAGGAGGUCCUUGUAAGCCUUACUGAAGAGUGCCUGCUUUAUUCUAAGGGCAGUGGGGAGCUGCUGAAAAGUUUAAGCAAGAUUUUAACAUGGACCAGAAUUGCGUUUGAGAAGGUUCACUCUGACUGCCACAUGGAGAAUGGGUUGGAGGUGGGCAAGACCCAGGAAGAGAGACAAAUUAGGAGGCCCUUGUGCUAACCCAGAGGAGAUUGGAUGGUGGCUUUGACCAAGUUUGUUGCGGAGGGGAUGGAGAUAAAUGAUCAUAUUUCAGAGGCAUGGUAUGCCUGUGAUGGAUUGACCAUGGGAAGUGGUAAGCCACAUGGGUGCCAUACCCUGGGAAGGGCCCAAAGGCAGAGGAUAAGGUCUGAGAGUGAGGAAGGAGAUGAUCAUGGACAUAUUAAUGCUGAAGUGCCUUUGGGACUCACACACACAUCUGAAGUUGACAUGCCAAGUAGAUGCUUGUUGUGGGCUGAAUUAUGUCCUCUCAAAUUCAUAUGUUGAAGCCUAACUCUCAUCCCUCAGAAUGUGACUAUAUUUAGAGAUAGGGCCUUUAAAGAGGUGUUUAAGAUAAAAUGAGGCUGUUAGAGUGAGCCCUAAUCUAAUCUGACUGGUAUCCUUAUGAGUAGAGGAAAUUUGGACACACAGAGAGACAUCAGAGAUGUGUGCACACAAAACAAAGACCACUGAGCACAUAUCCAGAAGGCAGCCAUCUGCAAGCCAAGGAGAGAGGCCUCAGAAGAAACCAAACCUGUCAACACCUUGAUCUUGGAUUUCU
rnacentral:lncRNA from 10 species